rnacentral:rRNA from 1 species
GACGAACGCUGGCGGCGUGCUUAACACAUGCAAGUCGAACGGAAAGGCCCCUUUGGGGGUACUCGAGUGGCGAACGGGUGAGUAACACGUGAGUAACCUGCCCUUGACUUCGGGAUAACUUCAGGAAACUGGGGCUAAUACCGGAUAGGAAUCCUUGCUGCAUGGUGGGGGUUGGAAAGCUUCGGCGGUUUUGGAUGGACUCGCGGCUUAUCUGCUUGUUGGUGGGGUAGUGGCUUACCAAGGCUUUGACGGGUAGCCGGCCUGAGAGGGCGACCGGCCACAUUGGGACUGAGAUACGGCCCAGACUCCUACGGGAGGCAGAAGUGGGGAAUAUUGCAAAAUGGGCGGAAGCCUGAUGCAGCAACGCCGCGUGCGGGAUGACGGCCUUCGGGUUGUAAACCGCUUUCAGCAGGGGCGAAGCUUGUGGUGACGGUACCUGCAGAAGAAGCACCGGCUAACUACGUG